CAGAAUGUCCUCAUUUAAACUUUUUUUUAACAACUCAUGGAUUUGGUCUCUGAGUUACUUUACCUCUACUCAAGAUUGUGUCCAAGGUAUUAAGAAAGAUCGACAGCCUAGGUAAAAAAGACAGCCAUUGACUUAUCAAUGAAAAUAGAAAGUCCGUCAUUGAAAACCAAGGUGGGAUUUAUGAUUCAUUAGUACACCCCACAGGCCAUUAGGAGAUAUUUUAUAGAAGCAUCUUUUUUAACACGUUUGUUGAUAAACACUAUGUUGGCCUAAAAAAUACUUCACUGUGAUUGUUUUGAUCAGAGCUAUAUAUUAUGAAGCCUGACAUUUUAACACAUAUCAAAUAAGAUUAAGAUCAUUUAUAGAUAUGUUUCUUUGCAGUUUACUGUAGUUUGUUGUUUAUCAGCUGUAUACUAAGUAAUGUUUUGUCUGCAUUAUUUUUUCACCUGAAUUUCUUAAGAACUUUUAUUAUACUAUGAAAUCAAUUAUUUCUUGGGUGCUCACUGUGUAUUAGUCAUUGGGGUGCUGAUACAUGCUCCUUAAUUAAAAGCAUUUGUUUAGAAGUUUAGAGAAUUCAAAAAAUUUUUGCUGCUUUUUUUUUUUUUUUUUUUACAAAGAGGCAGCUCCAUUUUAUUUUAUUAGCCUCCCUUAGAUGUGGCAGUCUUUUUGUGUAUGUCUCUGAGUGGAUUUAAGAAAAAGGCACCAUUAGUUUAAAAUUCCCAAAUGUGGUAUUCAGUUUGGAGAAGAUGAUAACCUGUUUAAAAACAAAUAAAUAAAAAGAGCAGAAAAAAAGGGAAAGAUGUCUGGCAGAUUUUCUGCAAGUGGACGCUGUAAUAAAAAUGCCCCCUACUUUGUCAGGAUGGUAUUUGGAGGGCUGCUGCCAUAUGUUACUUUCCUUUUUAGCUGGGAUUAUGCCAUCAUUAUUGCUGAUAAAAGCUGUUUACUGCCUUGGCAAAGGAAUGAUGCUUGGAGCAGUUUUGGAAACCGCCAUUCAGUUUACAAAAAAGUUCAUUUAGUGCCAGAUGCUAGAAUCCUAGGUCUUUGUUAUCUUUUCCCAUUAUUAGAUCCAGCCAUUGUCUUAUUUCUUUUUUUCCCUUUAUAGUAAAAUGUUGCUUCUUACUACCUGUUUUAAUUCAAGCCGUUAAUGUGGGAGGUUAUCUAAAUUAUUACAUUCUUCAUGUUAACUGAUCAGUACUAAAGCUGGGCAAUUUGGCUUUCGGAACAAUUGACCAGAUUUGGAAUAAGCACUGUAGUGUGCAAUGAGGUUCCAGUUUCUAAACAGCCUGAAUGUGUACUCUCUUUAGUACCAUUGCACAUCAAGGAGAGCUUGGUUCUGUGUUUGAAUAAACUGUUGGCCAAUAGGCAAUCUCUGGAAACAUUGAAGGUGGAAUUGUUUUGGGUCAAGUUAUAACAUUGUUUUUAUUCUGUUAUGAAACAUUUCCCAGGAAAUGUUAAAUUCAUAGUUGUUAUAACUUUUUCUGAGAAUAUUACCUUUCCAGUUAUUUUUCUGAGACAUUUCUUCUGCUUUUAAACACAACAGUUAGUAGUGACUGCAUGAUUGGAUUGCACUGCCCUAGGAACUUGUAAAUGCAAAUAGUAAUAGACUUUUUUGUUGUUAAUUAGCAUACAAUACUAAGUAGGCCUUUGAUGCAUACUUAAUACUCCAGCUUUGUAUAAGGCAAGUAGAUUGUUUUAUUUUUAGUGUUUUGUCAACAUUUUAUUAAAAUCCAUUUCUCUCUCAGUGUCUAAAAACAUUCUUUUUCUCAACUUGCAGGACUGUCCAGUGGAGUCAGUAUCUGUAUAAAAUGUGAUGUGUUGGCCCACCCAGAGAUUAUACUGUUGGCCAUGUUAGUAUUAUGCUUCAACCAUCUUUUUCCACACCUCAGAAUUUAAAUUGUACUCCUUACCUGAAUUAAGAAUUACUUUAAGUGCAAAACUAACUCUUAAAAAUAAUGCUGACAAAUUAAGGUCUCACUGAUUUACCUCAAAAUAUAGCCAUGAUUUCCUCAAGUAUUGUAUACUUUUACUCUGAUGCUUUUUCUAGGAACGGUUGCCAAGAGGACAGAGUCCAAAAAUUAGUGUAAAAAACACAUUUUUUUACUGGACUUCUCUGAGACUUGAUUUUCUCUUUAUAAAAAAUGUAGAUAAUACCUGUUUGUAAGGGUGUUAUGAAAAGAGCCUGGGAGAUCAUUUUUACAAAAAGAAGAAUAUCAGUCAUCUGUUAGAAUACUGUAGAAUACAUCAAAAUGUAGCUGACCCGGGAUGCCACAAAUGGCCCCCUAACAAUUGAGACUUUUGGAUGACUUUAGGUGGGAAAA
rnacentral:lncRNA from 1 species